UUAUUAUAGAUAAUGUCGUUGAGUCACGUGACCUGUUCGACAUUUGACACUCGGGUCACGUGACUACCAUCAGAUCAGAAGAAAGAUGGCGGGUGGUUUCUGACAGCUCUUAUAUCGUCGCCAACUUUGGUCCUUCCUACCCAACGCUUGGAACGAGGGAAUGGAUCUCCACUCGAACUUCAGCUCUUUCCAGUCCAUGCCUCCUCGCAGGGUCUGAGCUUCCAGGACAGACGACGUUGGUCCUGUUCUGUCUGAUCCUGUCCAGUAGCGGCUCCAGCCAGCCCACGUUACACUCGAUAUGGGAGUCCAGGAACGUCAGGACUGUACCACUGGCGGCGGCUACAAAUAGAACGCAAAAA